AGUGAACGCUGGCGGUAGGCCUAACACAUGCAAGUCGAACGGCAGCACAGUAAGAGCUUGCUCUUACGGGUGGCGAGUGGCGGGCGGGUGAGGAAUACAUCGGAAUCUACUUUUUCGUGGGGGAUAACGUAGGGAAACUUACGCUAAUACCGCAUACGACCUACGGGUGAAAGCAGGGGAUCUUCGGACCUUGCGCGAUUGAAUGAGCCGAUGUCGGAUUAGCUAGUUGGCGGGGUAAAGGCCCACCAAGGCGACGAUCCGUAGCUGGUCUGAGAGGAUGUUAAGCCACCCGGGAACUGAGACAGGGCCAAGACCCCUCGGGGGGGCACCAGGGGGGAUUUUUGGAAAUGGGCCGAAGGCCUAACCCACCCACCCCGGGGGGGUAAAAAGGCCUUUGGGGUUUAAAGCCCUUUUUGUGGGAAAAAAAAACCAGCAGUUUAAUCCCCCGCUUUUCGGCCGGUACCAAAAAAAAAAGCCCCGGCUAACUUCGUG
rnacentral:rRNA from 1 species